GAUGAACGCUGGCGGCGUGCCUAAUACAUGCAAGUCGAGCGAACAGACGAGGAGCUUGCUGCUCUGACGUUAGCGGCGGACGGGUGAGUAACACGUGGAUAACCUACCUAUCAUACUGGUAUAUCUUCGGGAAACCGGAGCUAAUCCCGGAGAAUAUAUUGAUCCGCAUGGUUCAAUAGUGAAAUACGGCUUUGCUGUCACUUCUCGAUGGAUCCCGGCCGCAUUAGCUAGUUGGUAAGGUAACGGCUUACCAAGGCAACGAUGCGUAGCCGAACUGAGAGAGGGAUAGGCGACACGGGAGCUGAGACAGGGUCAAGACUCCUAAGGGAGGGAGCAGACGGGAACGUUACGCAGUGGGCGAGAGCUUGGCGGAGCAAGCCGGCGUGAGUGGUGACGAUCUCCGGAGCGUAAAGCCCUGUUAUUGGGGAAGAACAAAUGUGUAAGGAACUAUGCACGUCUUGACGGUACCUAGUCAGAAAGCAACGGCUAACUACGUG
rnacentral:rRNA from 1 species